rnacentral:rRNA from 1 species
UCCAGACUCCUACGGGAGGCAGCAGUGAGGAAUAUUGGUCAAUGGGCGCGAGCCUGAACCAGCCAAGUAGCGUGAAGGAUGACUGUCCUACGGGUUGUAAACUUCUUUUAUAAAGGAAUAAAGUGAGGCACGUGUGCCUUUUUGUAUGUACUUUAUGAAUAAGGAUCGGCUAACUCCGUGCCAGCAGCCGCGGUAAUACGGAGGAUGCGAGCGUUAUCCGGAUUUAUUGGGUUUAAAGGGUGCGCAGGCGGAAUGUCAAGUCAGCGGUAAAAUUUCGGGGCUCAACCCCGUCGUGCCGUUGAAACUGGCGUUCUUGAGUGAGCGAGAAGUAUGCGGAAUGCGUGGUGUAGCGGUGAAAUGCAUAGAUAUCACGCAGAACUCCGAUUGCGAAGGCAGCAUACCGGCGCUCAACUGACGCUCAUGCACGAAAGCGUGGGUAUCGAACAGGAUUAGAUACCCUGGUA